rnacentral:rRNA from 1 species
UACGUAGGGUGCAAGCGUUGUCCGGAAUUAUUGGGCGUAAAGAGCUCGUAGGUGGCCUGUCGCGUCGGCUGUGAAAACUCGGGGCUCAACUCCGAGCUUGCAGUCGAUACGGGCAGGCUAGAGUUCGGCAGGGGAGACUGGAAUUCCUGGUGUAGCGGUGAAAUGCGCAGAUAUCAGGAGGAACACCGAUGGCGAAGGCAGGUCUCUGGGCAUUAACUGACGCUGAGGAGCGAAAGCAUGGGGAGCGAACAGG